AUUGAACGCUGGCGGCAGGCCUAACACAUGCAAGUCGAGCGAGCGGCGGACGGGUGAGUAAUGUCUGGGAAACUGCCUGAUGGAGGGGGAUAACUACUGGAAACGGUAGCUAAUACCGCAUACCAUCAGAUGUGCCCAGAUGGGAUGAGCGAGUAGGUGGGGUAACGGCUCACCUAGGCGACGAGCCCUAGCUGGUCUGAGAGGAUGACCAGCCACACUGUAACUGAGACACGUUCCAGACUCCUACGGGAGGCAGCAGUGGGGAAUAUUGCACAAUGGGCGCAAGCCUGAUGCAGCCAUGCCGCGUGUGUGAAGAAGGCCUUCGGGUUGUAAGGCACUGACGGCGAGGAGGCGUUACCCGCAGAAGGAGCACCGGCUAACUCCAUGCCAGCAGCCGCGGUAAUUC
rnacentral:rRNA from 1 species